GAAAUACGAUAGUUGCUGUGAAUUGCAGAAAUCCGUGAACCAUCAAGUUUUUGAACGCAAGUUGCGCCCAAAGACAUUAGGCUGAGGGCACGUCUUCCUGGGCGUCACAGAUCGUUGCCCCUCAAAAACCUUUUUAAGGCGAUGGAUGGGUGGAAGAUGGCUCUCCCGUGUUCUUUGUAACGUGGUUGGCCCAAAUAAAAAGUCAUCGGCGUCCAACGCCUCGACAAUCGGUGGUUGUCAAACCUCGGUGCCUUGUCGCGCGCGCAGUCGUGUGUUGGGUUUCCAUACAUGUGUGUGUCGUUCACUCGGCUCUUUCAACGCGACCCCAGGUCAGGCGGGGUUACCCACUGAAUUUAA
rnacentral:misc_RNA from 1 species